rfam:Legionella longbeachae NSW150, complete genome
GGGUCUGUAGAUCAGUUGGUUAGAUCGCACCCCUGAUAAGGGUGAGGUCGGUGGUUCAAGUCCACCCAGACCCA